CUUGGCUACCCGGCUCGUAGUCAAGCGUCGGACGCCGUAGAGUACACAUUGUUCUAUUUAAUACGUGUCAGUCUAUAUCUAUAUAAUUCGUUCGAUCGUCGUGUGCGCGCGCGUGUUGUAAUAGUGUGUUGUUAUUUCUUCCUAUAAAGAAGAAGAAGAAGAAAAAGAAGAAGAAGACAGUGCAACGUGAGUUUAAAAGUUUCGUGAAAGACUAAAACCAAAAAAAAAAAAAAAUA